rnacentral:lncRNA from 1 species
AUUCAAUAAGCAUUGAGUUUUAAAUACAGGGAAAAACACGAUGGGCCAUACCCUAGGUAAUACAUAGAUGUACAAGACAGCCCUUCCUCUCUUAAAGUGCUUUCAAUGAGAUUCUCUAUACAACAUCUGCCUUUGGAAGCUAUUGCUAUUGCUAUUGAUAUGAAUAUUACUACUACUAAUUAUAAUAAUAUUCAAUAGCAUGGCAAUUGAAUAGCUCUUGACAGUUUACAAAAUAAUUUCGUAAAGUACUAUUUCAUUCAGUCUCCAUCAUAACUCUGAGAAAUAGAAAACACUAUUUUUUCCUCAAUUUUAUACAUGACAAAUUGGAAGAACAGAAAAUUGAAGCCCAAAUAACACUAAUUGAUUGUGGAUCUGGACCUAGAACCUGGUUUUCAGGAUUCCACUUUCUCUUUUAUUUCUUCUGUAUACAAGAGCUCUGCUGGGUGUUAGGAGGUGAUGAAAAGAGCUCUGGGAAGUGAAUUGGCCAGUUAGUCUUGUGAGUUAUAGCUGGACCCAGGCAGGGGACCAUAUAGCCUAUAGGACCUGGUCCCUAUCAGCCAUUCCUAAGGGGAGUCAACUCUGACAAUGGAUGACAAGAAGAUGUUAAGACUUGUUGGUCUUUGGCAUAGUCCUCACUAAAAAUAACUGUUUCUCACUAGGAUUCCUUGUACUUUAGAAAGUGAGGAUAUCUGGUAAGGUCUCAUGCCAGAUUAGAAAGUCAUAUGACCACUCUGCCUAUACCACCAGGAAGCUAUGGACUUGGAAAAGCAGGAUUCUGGUCUUUCAUGCUGGCACUAAAAGAUCCUGGAUGAGUGUGUUUAAAUAUGCUCACCUAUAACCUCCUCUGUCUUAGAACAGGGCAUUUGGAACUAGGUUAUUCAGGUCAAGAGGCCAACUAAAUGGCUGAUAUCAGAAAUCAAAGAGAAAGUAAAUUACAGCAGGAGACCACCCACAUGAGACAGCCUAGGACACUGAAACCUAUGAUCCUGAAGGAAAUGACAAGAUUCAAAUAUGGGAAGAACGUAAACCAAAGCAUUCCUCUAAAAAAAAAAAAAAGAAAGAGAAGGAUGAUAAAUUUCCAAAAUGGUUUUCAGCGUCACUCACAUUAAAAAUUAAAACAAUAAAACAUUAUUUUUCAUGUCAGGGAAGUUUGAUAACACCAGUCUAAAGAUAGUGUAGGAAAAUAGAAGUCUUUUUCCCUAUCAGUGGACCACAUAUUAGAACAACCUUUUGAAGAGCUUUCAGCAGCAUCUAUGAGGCACAUACACUUUGACCAAGGGGUCUAUUUUGGGGAUUUUUUUUUAUGACACAGGUACUCACGCAAGUGCACAAAGAUACCAGGCAAGGGAGUUCAUUGCAACAUUUUUGUAAAAACUGGAAACAAUUUUUAAAUGUCUAUGAAUAGGAAAUACGAGCCAAACAUUUUAAAACAUCUAAUACUAAUUAGCAAAAACAAGUAGUUGAAUAGUAGAUAUAUUAUGAGCAUUUGUAUAAAUGAACAAAUGAAUAUAGGAAUUCAUAUGUAUAUCUUUCUCUAUUCACAUGUAUCUGUGUGCUUUUGCACAUAUGGACAUUCCUGAAAGGAUAUGUAGUUAAUAUAUGUAGUUAAUGCAUGUAGUUAAUAGUAACUUGAGGGGGGAGUGAGAGUGGGAGCCCAGUGUGGGAUGAAGGUUUGUUUCUAUUCUAUUGAUGUAUAAUAACUUGAAUAUUUUUAAUCAUAAAAGUUUUGUAUACUUAAGGUAAUAUUUAAAUGAAC